CACGCAGGCGGUCAGCCAAGUUUGGUGUGACAGUUCCCGGCUUCACUGGGAAAGUGCAUCGAAAACUGGUUGACUUGAGGGCUUCAGAGGGACAGGGAAUUCCGGGUGUAGUGGUGAAAUGCGUAGAUAUCCGGAGGAACACCGAAGGCGUAGGCACUGUCCUGGGGAGUCACUGACGCUCAGGUGCGAAAGCUAGGGGAGCGAACG
rnacentral:rRNA from 1 species